rnacentral:tRNA from 1 species
GGGGGUGUAGCUCAGUGGGAGAGCACUUGCCUAGCAUGUGUGAGGCCCUGGGUGUGAUUCCCCAGCACCCCAA